rnacentral:rRNA from 1 species
GACGAACGCUGGCGGCGUGCUUAACACAUGCAAGUCGAACGGAAAGGCCCCUUUGGGGGUACUCGAGUGGCGAACGGGUGAGUAACACGUGAGUAACCUGCCCUUGACUUCGGGAUAACUUCAGGAAACUGGGGCUAAUACCGGAUAGGAAUCCUUGCUGCAUGGUGGGGGUUGGAAAGCUUCGGCGGUUUUGGAUGGACUCGCGGCUUAUCAGCUUGUUGGUGGGGUAGUGGCUUACCAAGGCUUUGACGGGUAGCCGGCCUGAGAGGGCGACCGGCCACAUUGGGACUGAGAUACGGCCCAGACUCCUACGGGAGGCAGCAGUGGGGAAUAUUGCACAAUGGGCGGAAGCCUGAUGCAGCAACGCCGCGUGCGGGAUGACGGCCUUCGGGUUGUAAACCGCUUUCAGCAGGGGCGAAACUUGUGGUGACGGUACCUGCAGAAGAAGCACCGGCUAACUACGUG